GAUGUAGCCAAGUGGAUCAAGGCAGUGGAUUGUGAAACCACC
rnacentral:tRNA from 1 species